rnacentral:lncRNA from 1 species
UGAAAAUAAGCCAAAAUCAAAUUUAGAAUAUGACCUUGACCUUUGACCUUGACCUUAUUUUCAUUUUUUUGGACCAAGGAUCUCAAAUCAAAGACCCUAGGUCCUCUAUCACUUAUGGUUUACCAGUUAGAAACGCAUAUCACUUAUAUCAAAUGCAUAAGGGGAAAUAACUCUCAUAUGGAGUCUCCGAUAGCUUCGGUCCAAAUGAAUAUCCUAAUCCUGAAGAUAGUAACGAGCAAUUUGGUAAAAUAAAUUUGUCGUAAUCUUUUACGGUUGCGAAGGAGUAGUGGCCACAAGAAAAACAGUGUUUGGGGAGAUAACUCUUACAACGUUAAAGUAUUUUGUUACGCGGUUGUAAAUUUUUAAAGCGUAUAAACUAUACGAUAUCAUAUUCCAAAUAUCUAAGCGACAUCUUUUGAAACAUCAAUACUACGCAAGAAAAAAAAAUUUAGGCGGAAGAAAAAAAAAAAAA